rnacentral:sRNA from 1 species
AGUUACAUCAAUCAAUCCUACUAUAUUAUUUGGGAAGUACAUUUUAAAUGUAACCUUAAUUUUUGUAAGUAAUUACAUAGGUAUGCCAUUAGAAAUAAAAUUUUAAAAAGUAAAUUAAUUUAUCUCUUUAAAGAUUAAAAAGUCAAAUACUAAUUUAAUUA